rnacentral:tRNA from 1 species
GCUCGUCUAGCUCAAUUGAUAGAGUGUAUGACUUUUGACCUUGAGGUUGUGGGUUCGAGCCCCAUGGUGGGUA